CUCGAUGUCGGCUCAUCGCAUCCUGGGGCUGUAGUCGGUCCCAAGGGUUGGGCUGUUCGCCCAUUAAAGCGGUACGCGAGCUGGGUUCAGAACGUCGUGAGACAGUUCGGUCCCUAUCCGUCGCGGGCGCAGGAAAUUUGAGAGGAGCUGUCCUUAGUACGAGAGGACCGGGAUGGACGUUCCGCUGGUGUACCAGUUGUGCCGCCAGGCGCAUCGCUGGGUAGCUAUGAACGGAAGGGAUAAACGCUGAAAGCAUCUAAGUGUGAAGCCCCCCUCGAGAUGAGAUUUCCCAUUCCUAUAUGGAGGUAAGACCCCUGAGAGAUGAUCAGGUAGAUAGGCUGGAAGUGGAAGUGCAGCGAUGCAUGGAGCGGACCAGUACUAAUCGGUCGAGGACUUAACCAAG
rnacentral:rRNA from 1 species